rnacentral:rRNA from 1 species
CCCUUAGAUGUUCUGGGCAGCACGCGCGCUACAAUGGUCUUCGCAAACGGAUGCAUUCUCGAAGGAGAAUGCCAAUCUUGGAAUCUAUGCCUUGGUCGGGACAGUUGCUUGCAAUUUUUCGACUCGAACCAGGAAUUCCUUGUAAUCGUGAUUCAUCACAUCACGAUGAAUACGUCCCUGCCCUUUGUACACACCGCCCGUCGCUCCUACCGAUUGAAUGUUCCGAUGAAUACCAUGGACUGAGAGUAUGAAUGGGUUCGCCUAUUUCUGCUUCUCGGGAAGUGGAGUAAAUCUUAACAUUUAGAGGAAGGAGAAGUCGUAACA